rnacentral:rRNA from 1 species
CCUACGGGAGGCUGCAGUGGGGACUAUUGCACAAUGGGCGCAAGCCUGAUGCAGCCAUGCCGCGUGUGUGAAGAAGGCCUUCGGGUUGUAAAGCACUUUCAGCGGGGAGGAAGGCGGUGAGGUUAAUAACCUCAUCGAUUGACGUUACCCGCAGAAGAAGCACCGGCUAACUCCGUGCGCAGCAGCCGCGGUGAUACGGAGGGUGCAAGCGUUAAUCGGAAUUACUGGGCGUAAAGCGCACGCAGGCGGUCUGUCAAGUCGGAUGUGAAAUCCCCGGGCUCAACCUGGGAACUGCAUUCGAAACUGGCAGGCUAGAGUCUUGUAGAGGGGGGUAGAAUUCCAGGUGUAGCGGUGAAAUGCGUAGAGAUCUGGAGGAAUACCGGGGGCGAAGGCGGCCCCCUGGACAAAGACUGACGCUCAGGUGCGAAAGCGUGGGGAGCAAACAGGAUUAAUACCCGUGUAGUC